CACGUAGGCGGCUUUGUAAGUCGGAUGUGAAAUCCCCGGGCUCAACCUGGGAACUGCACCCGAAACUACAUUGCUAGAGUAUGGGAGAGGGAGGCGGAAUUUCCGGUGUAGCAGUGAAAUGCGUAGAUAUCGGAAGGAACAUCAGUGGCGAAGGCGGCCUCCUGGACCAAUACUGACGCUCAGGUGCGAAAGCGUGGGGAGCAAACAGGAUUAGAUACCCUGGUAGUCCACGCCCUAAACGAUGAGAACUGGAUGUCGGGAGGGUUUGCCUUCCGGUGUCGUAGCUAACGCGAUAAGUUCUCCGCCUGGGAAGUACGGCCGCAAGGUUGAA
rnacentral:rRNA from 1 species